AGAAAAAGCGGGUCGGGCAGCGCCGGCGGGGGAGGCCGAGGCCCCAACUCCUGCGUCCCGGCCACCCGGAGGCGGUUUGGCUGCAGUCUAGGCAGUUUAUCUGUUGUUCCCACUCCGACUCUUUCUGGAUCUCGCCUCCCCUCCUGUCCCCUCCCUCUGCUAAGGUCGGGAAGGGGCAGGGAACACUUUCCUGUCACCUAAGGAAUUUACCUUCAGGCGGAGAGUAACCCAACACAGCCCACACGGGGCCGCGAGCCUGCCCACAGGCCUCGGGCAACCUGGGACUCUGCACCAGCAUAGUUAAAGUUUCAAAAGCUAAGCAGGAAUUGGAAGCAAAGAAGUUAGGGAUACCUGCAACUAUCUGAAGACACAAAUCUCCACAACUGAAGCAGGGCUGGCAGAUCCCCCACCCCAGUUGUCCUUGUUCCUGUACCUCCCUGCUGUCCAGAAGUCAGAACCUGGGGAUGCAGCAGCAUCCUCUUCGGACUGCGCGAUGCCGAUCCCAGGUGCCUGGCCCCAUCACAGUUUGUACAGCCUGAAUGUACCAGACCCAUCUUUGGAACUCCGAGAAAAAAUGUGUAUCUCACACAGUAAGGGCUCUGCCCCACUGUAUGCAAGUCUACUACACGAUUCCUCACUUUGAGUUUUUCUGUUUGGACUGUACAUAAAGUAAGGAUUCUGUCUUCAUCAAGCUUCAAUGGUACCAUGAGCUCAAGAAAUAUGGUGUUUGUAAAGCUCAGGGAAUUAGCUCCUUUCUCUUCCUGGAAAGAGAUGUGCUCAGACAGGAUUUCCUUCUGGAUGGUAAUAUCAUGCUGGAAAGGAAACAAGGGACUUUCAGCUCCAACUAGGUUCACAGCUUCCUGGACUACACUGGAAAAUCAUUUCAAGAACACCUCCUGAGGACAAGGGUAACCGAGUAGGCAAGGGGAAGAAGUAGAAACUGGAUAAGAAAUCUAAUACAUCUCAACUCAGUGAUAAUGUCUAAUUCACGUGCAAAAACAUAACAGCUCCUAGGUUCACUAUGAAUGGCAUGGCUCAGAGAAGAAGUACUAUUGUCAGAGAUAUUGCUAGAAAGCAAGAGAACCCAAUCAAUACCAAGAUAUGAAGAGGCAUACAGCACAUAUACAGAAUCAAAAUGUAUAUCUUAGGGCCUUUAUUCAGGAAUAUGCUGAGUUCUGAUGCUCAUAAUUUAAAAGUGAAAAAGUAAACUAAACAGGAGUGUUUGAAAGAUGUGUGUUUUAACCCCUGACAAUGUGAUCAUCGUGGCAAAGCAAGGAUGUAUUUUUGUAAGACUGUAUAGUUGAUUAGCAGAUGAAGAGCUACAGCGCAAGAGACAUGGGCUUCAAAUAUUAAGAGCAAACUUCCAGUGAACUAAAUCAGGAUGCAACUUUAUAUUGGAUUAGAGACAUACCAAGGCUUAGUCUACCUCCCUGGAGCCCUGGGUUUGAUUCCUAGCGCUACUACCUACCACAGCCACCACCACCAGUCCAAAAAAGAAAGAGAAGAAAAACCCCCAAGAAAUGCUUCAGCAGCCCCUGGCUACUGUCAUGUUUAGCUAACUCUGCAGCCAAGGGCCCCGACUGUCCUAGCAUUCAUGAGUCCUGAGCACGGGCAGAGACACUGAGCAGCAGGACACACCUUUCUGAAGCUGACAGAGGGCUCACAGGCUGCUUAAGUCCUCCUCAGAAGCAAGACCCAGCCUCAAGAAUCCCUAGCCUCAGUGGUCUAAUUCAAAUGCUGAUUAGCAUCAAAGGUUUCCCUCUAGAGAAAGGCAGACUGAGAGGGAGCAGGACCUUCAGGAGCACCUGGAGAGCAGAGGCGGCAGGCAGGACUCAGCUUCCUCUUUGAUGUUCACAGCACCUACACAGAGACAUGGCAGACUUGGACAUUUCAGUUUAGCUUCUAGCACAGCACUAAUCCAGCAGGCACCUGUGUCACAGACCUGAAGAAACUAAAAUUCUGUCUGGUGCACUGGGCUGAUCUGAGACUGGAAACUGCUCCCCAUCCCUGUUCAGUGAGGACACAGGCUCAGAGCUCUGUGCCACUUGCACAGGUCGGGUAAACCCAGUUCAGGAUGUAUGUUGGUGCAGGGCAGUUUCAGAGGCUCCCGAACUGAUCCAUACAGAUUCUCC
ensembl:lncRNA